GCUCAUUGAUUAAAAUAGUCAAAUCUGACUAUCAGAAUACCUUCCCAUCUACCUGAUGCAUGAUCUCUGUAGUUCUGAGA